rnacentral:rRNA from 1 species
GAACCUUACCAGCCUUUGACAUCCCGGUCGCGAGCACCGGAGAUGGAGCUCUUCAGUUAGGCUGGACCGGAGACAGGUGCUGCAUGGCUGUCGUCAGCUCGUGUCGUGAGAUGUUGGGUUAAGUCCCGCAACGAGCGCAACCCUCGCCCUUAGUUGCCAUCAUUUAGUUGGGCACUCUAAGGGGACUGCCGGUGAUAAGCCGGAGGAAGGUGGGGAUGACGUCAAGUCCUCAUGGCCCUUACAGGCUGGGCUACACACGUGCUACAAUGGCGGUGACAGAGGGAUGCAAAGGAGCAAUCCUUAGCAAAUCUCAAAAAGCCGUCUCAGUUCGGAUUGUGCUCUGCAACUCGAGCACAUGAAGUUGGAAUCGCUAGUAAUCGCAGAUCAGCACGCUGCGGUGAAUACGUUCCCGGGCCUUGUCACACCGA